UACGUAGGUGGCAAGCGUUGUUCGGAAUUAUUGGGCGUAAAGGGCGCGUAGGCGGUUUGUUAAGUCAGCUGUGAAAGCCCGGGGCUCAACCCCGGAGGGUCAGCUGAUACUGGCAGGCUAGAGUACAGAAGAGGUAACUGGAAUUCCCGGUGUAGCGGUGAAAUGCGCAGAUAUCGGGAGGAACACCUGAGGCGAAGGCGGGUUACUGGGCUGAUACUGACGCUGAUGCGCGAAAGCCAGGGGAGCAAACGGG
rnacentral:rRNA from 1 species